rnacentral:rRNA from 1 species
UACGUAGGAUCCAAGCGUUAUCCGGAAUCACUGGGCGUAAAGCGUGCGUAGGCGGCGCGUUAAGUGAGAUGCGAAAUCUGGUGGCUCAACCAUCUAGACUGUGUCUCAUACUGGCGUGCUAGAGGACGGCAGAGGCAAGUGGAAUUACCGGUGUAGCAGUGAAAUGCGUAGAUAUCGGUAGGAACACCAAUGGCGAAGGCAGCUUGCUGGGCCGGCCCUGACGCUGAGGUACGAAAGCGUGGGGAGCAAACGGG